GUGGCGCCCUUUGUAGGGGAUGUCCGCGUGUCUUUCCUCAGACAGCCCGGCUCCCCCCCACCAGGUUUCCACCCGUCCUCCGUUUGCCGUUGGCUCCUCCUCCUCACGUCGCCGCUGCUGUGUGCACAGUUGGCUGCGAGAGCCCCGCGAGGGGAUUAAAAAAAAACACAUUUUCACUUUUUUGUGAGGGGCGAAAAGCCUGUAGCAAGCAGCAAUCCAGGAAAUGGUGUUUCAAAUUCUAUGGCAGGAAAAACUGAAGGACACCCCCAAGACCCCUAGGAGAACAAAAGUAAAAUUUGUGAUCGAUAUGGAAAUCCAAAAAGUGGAAUAGUGUGGGAAAAAGAAGCUCCUCUUCAUUAAAAUAGAGCCUCCAUCAAGUACAUAAGGCCCAACAGGAGACUGCCUGUGCCAGAAGAGACCUGUGGUAAGCCAAAAUUUUGACAAAAGGUCCAUGAGAGGAAUAGCAAGGCAGCCAAAAAAGUAGCUGGUUUGCUGUGACUGGGUUUGGAUCUUGUGUUUGGAUCCCAAUGUCUUUCACCCAAUCUUAGUGUGGUGCAAAAUAUUCCUCAGGAUGGAGGGAGUUUCAGAAGGCUUGUAAGUUACCUCUGAAGGGAACACUAUUAGAGACAAGACCAUUUGGGGCAAGACACCCCAUAUAUCUUUGACUUAUUGCAGCAAAAGCACAUCAUUCAGGGUCUCAAUUUUGGGGUCCUUGAUGUUCUCUGAGCUUAGUGGUUUUCUUGCAGAUGUUUCAUUAUCCAACUAUCAUCAGUGCUGGAAGGGAGUGGGGUUUUCUCUUUGUUUAUGUACAGGCGGCUUGGUCUUUCAGUGAUGAUGGAGUGCUCUUGGUGGUUCCUUGAUUAGGCUGCGAUUUAUUGUUAGCUUGUGGGUCGCUCCAUUGGUGGACACAAGGCAAGACACACGUAUAAAAAACCUAGCACUGAUGAUGUUACCUAGUUGGGUAGUGAAAC